CGGCAUUUCGCACACGUUUGCUUUCCUGUUGUUUAUUUGAUUUCACUGACAGCAAGUGAAUGGUGUGCGAAAGUUGAAAAGUUUACAUUGUCUCUGGAAAACCGAAACGAACAACGAGACGAGCUUGCAUCAACUAAACAGCAGACUACAAAACUACAAACAGUGCAGUUGCAUUACAUUUAAAUUGCAAUUGCAAUCCUGCGGUCGGGGGCACUUCGUCGUCGUCGUCUCGUCGUCUGCUGCUAUGAGAAAAUAAAGUGUGGUGUAAACCCGUGAAUAAAUCUUCUGGAGAGAAAAAGCUCGGAAGGGUUCAUCGGAAUAUGCCAGAGAGUAGAAAGCAAGUGUACCUGCGAAAGGAAAUUCUUCGUACCACCAUGCAUCACCAGCCUUUCUGCCGUUCCAGCUGCAGUCAUCGUACCCAGCAUCCAAAUUUUGUCAGCUUGACCACUGCAGUGUUGCUGUGCUGUGAGUGCGUGCUGUGUUCCCACCCAGUUCUGUUUUGACUUCGCCUGCCGUGUUCCAAGCCUGCUGUAAGCUGUUCAGUUCAUUUCAACUUGACUCUUUUUAAAGUUCCAUUAGAAUGUGCCAGAGGUAAUGAACCUUGUACCUGCGAAAGGAAAUUCUUCGUACCACCAUGCAUCACCAGCCUUUCUGCAGUCAUCGUACCCAGCAUCCAAAUUUUCCCAUGCCAUUUGUGCCCUGAUGGAGUAUAGAAGGAAUGGAGAGGGAGAGCUCAAAACAUUGUCAGUCGAGUCACUCACCUAGUGGCCCAGACUUAUGGAUCUACUGAAGACACCACUCAUUCGGUGGUCACAUGCGUGUCACAAGAACGAAGGGAAAAGGAGAUGGUCUUAGAAGGCAGCAGCAGCAUCAAAGGGAACAAAUAAAUUAUGAAUUGUUAUUAUUUUCUUUAAAUUGUUAUCC